rnacentral:rRNA from 1 species
UACGUAGGGUGCGAGCGUUGUCCGGAAUUACUGGGCGUAAAGAGCUCGUAGGUGGUUUGUCGCGUUGUCCGUGAAAACUCACAACUCAAUUGUGGGCGUGCGGGCGAUACGGGCAGACUGGAGUACUGCAGGGGAGACUGGAAUUCCUGGUGUAGCGGUGGAAUGCGCAGAUAUCAGGAGGAACACCCGUGGCGAAGGCGGCUCUCUGGGACGGUACUGACACUGAGACGCGAAAGCGUGGGGAGCGAACAGG